UACGUAUGGUGCAAGCGUUAUCCGGAUUUACUGGGUGUAAAGGGAGCGUAGGCGGCACUGCAAGUCUGGAGUGAAAGCCCGUGGCCCAACCACGGGACUGCUCUGGAAACUGUGUUGCUGGAGUGCAGGAGGGGUAAGCGGAAUUCCUAGUGUAGCGGUGAAAUGCGUAGAUAUUAGGAGGAACACCGGUGGCGAAGGCGGCUUACUGGACUGUAACUGACGUUGAGGCUCGAAGGCGUGGGGAGCAAACAGG
rnacentral:rRNA from 1 species